rnacentral:lncRNA from 1 species
AACGAUAUAAGCAAAAGAAGCAUUCUUAUUAUUCAAUUCAGCAGAAGCAUCAAGUACAAAUAAACCCCCAUUACAAAAACCUUUCCCAACAAAUUCCCCAUUACGAGUAAGUACAAGUUUAUCAGACUCAAACACAAGCUUAAUGUCAGCUUUAUUCAACAAGGACCCAGACACAAGAUUCCUACGAAUAUCGGGCACAUGAAAU